AUCUAUAUGCCGGCGUCUAUUCCGAUGCUGUUUUUAAGAAAUAACGAGAGAAUCGUGAAUCUGUUCGUGACUUUGAAGAUGAUAAGGAGGAGAGAGCUACGUGCGGGGCCACAACACGGGAGACAAGAAAGAUUGAAUCACGGUGGGAGAAAUAGAUAGAACCACCAGACAAGUCAAUUGCGUCUUCACCCUCGAGACAAGACUCACAAGAGUCUUGGCACGCACAGAAUCUUCGACCAAUAUCUCGCCGUCCAUGCUCAUAUGACAUCCUGCAACUACGACUGCCCAGCCAACAAAAGAGGGGGAACCUCGACAUGAAGAGAGGGACAAAAAAAAAUCUCGCUUAUCUAGCCUGACCAUAAACGGCUAGCGCCAAUACGAUUAAUCUCUUCUAAUUCUCUCGCCCCUUAGUAUCACGUCACAUCACGGCCUCAAGAGUCAAGACCAUGAGGAUAUACAAAAACACUCAGAUGAUCGUAAACACAACCCCGUGGGGUACAAUGCACAGCGACCAGGGAAAUGCCACAGAAAUAAGCAUAAACCAGCGAGCCAAUCGCAAAACUGAUGGCGUGGGAGGUUUGGGCUUGUGCUACGGAAUCUGGUUUCCGAUAGACGAAUCUGAUCCCUUACUUUGAAAGAGAGGCAGUCCACUUCCCCGGAUUUUCGGACUGUGAAUUCCAGGAGACUGAAUCUGAAUGGUGUAACCGGAAGAUCGUAUACAAUAAUAAUACUACGUACGUAUAUAGACGUACCACAGUACAUUACGUCUAGGCACAUGGAAUAAUAGAAUGGUGGCGAGAAUACAGGGUAGAUCGCUCUUAAGGAC
rnacentral:lncRNA from 1 species